rnacentral:tRNA from 2 species
GGGGCCUUAGCUCAGCAGGGAGAGCGCCUGCUUUGCACGCAGGAGGUCGGCGGUUCGAUCCCGCUAGGCUCCA